rnacentral:precursor_RNA from 10 species
GUGCCGAUUAAGAAGAAGUUUGACUUGCUCAGAAAUUGUACAUUAGACUAGUUAGACAAAUGCUACAUCUAGUCUAGUGAACAGUUCACGGGAAGCUCAGACGUGCUCAGCUCAGCACGAA